rnacentral:rRNA from 1 species
UACGUUCCCGGGCCUUGUACACACCGCCCGUCACACCACGAAAGCUGGAGGAACCAGAAGUCGUUGACCCAACCUUCGGGAGGGAGACGCCCAAGGUUUAUCCGGUGAUUGGGGUG